rnacentral:rRNA from 1 species
UCUUACCGAGUUUACAACUCCCAAACCCAAUGUGAACGUUACCAAUCUGUUGCCUCGGCGGGAUUCUCUGCCCCGGGCGCGUCGCAGCCCCGGAUCCCAUGGCGCCCGCCGGAGGACCAACUCAAACUCUUUUUUCUCUCCGUCGCGGCCUACGUCGCGGCUCUGUUUUAUUUUUGCUCUGAGCCUUUCUCGGCGACCCUAGCGGGCGUCUCGAAAAUGAAUCAAAACUUUCAACAACGGAUCUCUUGGUUCUGGCAUCGAUGAAGAACGCAGCGAAAUGCGAUAAGUAAUGUGAAUUGCAGAAUUCAGUGAAUCAUCGAAUCUUUGAACGCACAUUGCGCCCGCCAGUAUUCUGGCGGGCAUGCCUGUCCGAGCGUCAUUUCAACCCUCGAACCCCUCCGGGGGGUCGGCGUUGGGGGAUCGGCCCCUCACCGGGCCGCCCCCGAAAUACAGUGGCGGUCUCGCCGCAGCCUCUCCUGCGCAGUAGUUUGCACACUCGCACCGGGAGCGCGGCGCGGCCACAGCCGUAAAACACCCCAAACUCUGAAAUGUUGACCUCGGAUCAGGUAGGAAUACCCGCUGAACUUAAGCAUAUCAAUAA